rnacentral:rRNA from 1 species
UAAACCCAAAGGCGAAACGAAAGUGAAGGUUGUUUAUCUUUCUUUGGGAUGAUCCGGUUCGCGGGGGGACACGAAGGACGUUCAUCGUCCCCGAAAAUCCUCCCCCGAUUUGUCACCCUGUAUGUGGACGGCGCAAUCCCGGGGUCCGCAACUUUGUUCCUCCCCGUCGCUAAAGCUCGGCCUAAGUCGCCUUGAAAAGGAGUGCGCGUAUCUUCCAGGGGUCCGUCCUCGGUAACGAGGGGGGUACGGGCGGUUGUUUGUUAUAGCAGCAGCAUUCACAGAAACGUUUUGUCUUCUUCACGCGACGGCGUUUGCUUUCGCGGGGGGAAAGAGGCUCUCGUUGGUUGCUGCUGCAUCGUAAUCAAUCCGUUGUUCGGCCUUCCUCUCCCUACCGUGGCAGAUUGAAACGUGGGGGCCUGGAGGCUCUGCGCGUACACAGUGGACGCGCGGCUUAGGUCCGCUGACGCGGGACGAUCGGCGGAUACCUUGAGCCCACAGUCUGGUACCCGAAAGAUGUUGAUCUAUACGUGGCCAGAAUGAAGCCAGAGGAAACUCUGGUGGAGGUC